ACAACAUCCUUGUUUACGAUUGUCAGUAAAGUUGUUUUUUACAAUUUCUUGGUAUCAGUGGAAAUAUUAACAUCGUUUAUAGCAUGGAAGAGGAAACUUAAAUACAUUUUUUCUCAGUUUCACUGUACAUGCACCUUUUUAGAUUAAUUAAUGCCCAGUGGUAUAUCUAGUCAAGGGAUAUAACUAUCAGGAUUAUAACUAUUUGUACAAUGAACCAGACGAAGGAAAAAGAAAACCCAAGUUAUACAGUCUCUCUGGAAAUGCUACAAUAUUUUAGAAACAUUUAAAAACGUGUUACUAAACUUUCAGUUCCAUUAUUCGAAGUUUUCCCACAUUGUAGUGUUGACUUUUGAGCUGAACAGAGUUCCUGAACUCUGGAGCAAAAAGUUGACAAUCAAGACGAGGAAGAUGGCGGUGAAGAGCUUACUAGCGCGUUGAAUAAUGCAUUGACUGAUGAUAUCACAGAUACACAUUUCGUUACUAACGCUGAAUUUCAAAGCUCUGCCAUCGAAACGGAGACGAC
rnacentral:misc_RNA from 1 species